CUGGUUAGAGGUUCGCCGGUGACGUGAGCGCCCGAGUUGGGGGAGAGGACCAGAACCACCUGCUGGAGAAAGGGAGCUACGGGGGCCGGGCAGGGUCCAAACGCCUCACGUGGGCGGCGGCGCCACGGUCUUCGGGGUCACAGGGAAGAGAAGGGCUCUCCUCAAGCGGGUGGAAGGAGGGAGGCCUCCCGAGGGAAUGAGACUCCAGGCCACUCCCCCGCAGCAAGGCAGGAUCACCUGCGUCGCGGAGAGCAGUUAGAGGUCCCUGGAGUGGAAAAGGGCAGUGGGACCUGGUAGCUUGGGUUCCCUGCAACUUGGGGUUCGACCUCCAGGCAAUGAAGUAGGGAUGGUCCUGCAAGUCAAGAUUCCAGUAGCAAGAGUGCAUCAGAUCUCUGUAAGGAAAAUAACUAACAUUGCUCAGUUCCCUGUAGAGUUGCAGGGCGCUUUGACGUUAUCUCCCUUGGUUCUCCAUCAGGUCGUAGUGGACUAAUUUUACAGGCGAAGUUAAGUGACUUACCCAAAACCUCACAGCUAAUAAACGGCAGAGCCGGCACCCAGCUGUACUGGCUUCCAGCGCAUCCCAUUAUCUCCAUAAAUCCCCCUGAUUCAACUAAUAUUAGACGCCCCACAGGUAAGAUGCUUCAGAGUUAGAGGGGAGUUGAAGAUACCUUUGCCUUCAAAGAAGUAAGGAAUGAAACAAAGAUAAAACAGACAAUAAAAGACAAACCAUGAUAGGUGCCACGUGAAAAGUGGCAGAGUACUGCCGGGAAUCAAAGAACCGUGUAUAUCUGUCUUGGGGAUAAGGAAAGAAACGCAGCAUGAAGGAGUAGGCAUUUGGGAUUGACCUUGAAGGAGACAGGGAGAGUUUUACAGCAAGAAGGGAUAGCAUGAGAAUAUAUAUGAAGGCGAAUCAGUGAAAGUUGUGUUGGGGAAAGAGCAAAGACUCCAGGUAUGUUGAGAGGUAGAAAAGACAAAGGAGUAUGGGGCCUAAGAUACCAAAUGGAUGAAUUUAUAUUUAAUUCAGUAUUUUGAGUUUUUAUGGUUCAGAAGUUUGGGGGAAGAAAAGGAAGGUUUUUUUUUUCUUUAUGCUAGUGAUUUAUCUGUGAAGGGAAGCAGAAAUCAGAGGUGGAAAAACUGACAGAUCUACUGUAGGCCAGGUAAAAGGUAAUGAUGAGUCUGACCUAAAGGGACAGCCAGGGGAAUUUAAAGAGCAUAGUUGAGAGAUGAUGUGCAUGCAGAAUCUAUAGAAUUUGCUAACUGAUUGAUUAAUUGUGGGUAGGAAGAGAGAAAUCAAAGAAAGUGGAGGUUUUGAGUUUCUAGAUAAUUGCAAGAGAGAAAAGAGACAAUUACAAAGGAAAGGAGAAGGAGCUACUUCUUGAGAGAAGAUCAGUUUAGAUUUAGACAUUUUAAGAAUUCAAAGGGUUGUCAAGACAGCCAGACGGACAUGGACACUAAUAAGUUAGAAAUAAAGGUUUUGUAAUAUGGGAAAGAGGACUGAGCUAGAAAAUAGACUCAUAGAUAAUCAGCCUAGGAGUGAUAUUGCUGUGAGAUAAAAGAAGAAAACAAAGUCAGAAUCUUGGAAAACACCCUCUUCAGAGUCUCGCUGCUCAAAACGUGGUCAGUGGCCCAGCAGCACUGACAUGAGGACCUUAGUUGGAAACUCAGAAUCUCAGGCUCCACCCCAGACCUGCUGAACCAGCAUCUUCAACUUAACAAGAACCCGAAGAGAUUUGUGCCACAUCAAAAAGUUUGAGAAGCUCUGAUCUAGCUGGACCCUGGACACGGUGACUCUGAUUCAAUUAUGCAGAUGACCACAAGCCUCUGGGGUUGGCAGAGCCACAAGAAAGAAGGUGCCUGGAUGAAGGAGAGCUACCCACUGACCUGGACACCCAAUUAUAGGAUAGACAGUGAAGUGCAACUACAGCCCGCAAAUGAAAAUGAAUAAAAUUAAUCCAGCCCCUCAAGGCAGUCAUCUGUCUUAGAGCUAUUGGAAUCCUGGAUCAUUGUGGGAAAUGAAAAAUACUUCGAUGGAAUCAGCAGCCAUUGAUCCAAUGCCAACUCCAAGACUGGAACGUCGCAAUGAUAGUUCCAAGGCGGAAAUUUGACGUAAUUCUUUUCGACACAGUUUUACAGGCAUCUUGCAUGUGAAUAACUCACAACUUUAAUUCAUGGAACAAAUUGAGAAAUAGUCUUUUGGGGGUUUGGUACUCCCUGGAAACAUAAGAGUGCUUUGGGCACCUCUGGUGCCUUUCCAUGCCUGCCUUCUCUGCUGUUCUUGCUACUAGUGAAUUCUAAAUCAUGGCCAAGUGAUGCCAGCACUGGAUAAUAUUGGCUCUGCCCCAUAUCUCGAGGGAAAACUCUGGGACUUGGCAUUAUAUGUGUGGGAAUCUGGCCUUGGUUGGCACUCCCAGCAUGAUAGCAGGGUUCUGCUGUCUGAAUGUACUCUGGGGUGUGCGCCACAAUUUCUGUCAUCGAAAUGGAGAUGAGAGAAUAUGCCCUUGGUGGGGACACCCCACUGGAAUUAGAGUGAAGAGAUCAAAGCUAGAGGUUCUUAAAUCAAAGAAUGUCUAAUAGCAAAGACAAAAACUUGCUUAAGAGAAAUGCAUACAGGUACUAGACCUAAUAUGAUGAAAAAUGCUAACUUCAACAUAUUGAUGCAUGCUUAGUAUACUUUUAGUCCUGCAAAGACAAAAGUUUUUUGUUUGUUUUUUUUUGAGACGGAGUCUCGCUCUGUCGCCCAGGUUGGAGUGCAGUGGUGUGAUCUCGGCUUACUGCAAGCUCUGCCUCCUGGGUUCACACCAUUCUCCUGCCUCAGCCUCCGGAGUAGCUGGGACUACAGGCGCCCGCCACCACGCCCGGCUAAUUUUUUGUAUUUUUAGUAGAGAUGGGGUUUCACCGUGUUAGCCAGGAUGGUCUCGAUCUCCUGACCUCAGGUGAUCCGCCUGCCUUGGCCUCCCAAAGUGCUGGGAUUACAGGCAUGAGCCACCGCACCUGGCCCAGUCCUGCCAAGACAAAGUUUUAAAACACAGGUUGCACAUUGGCAGCUCUCAAGCCAAAUCUGGCCCAUAGACAUGGUUUGCUUGGCCUAUAAUGUUAGUAAUACUUGACCCAAGAUUUAAAAUUUGAAAAGUUUCAUAUAAAAAUAUAGAUUUACAGCUUUUCUAGAAAAACUAUAAGAGUUAACAGUUUCUGAAUUGCAACAGCAGCUGGAACACCGUUGCCACUGACCAUUUAGAUGACUGCUGCAGUCCCCACGGCUCACUCUGGUUCAGGUAGGGGUUCUAGUUUGUAACCCCUGGUUUAAAACAUAACUGACUCUCUAGUUUUUAAAAUUCUCUCAAAAUCAAAUAACCUGAACUAGCAAAUGAUCUAGAUCCUCGUACAUGGAACUCAUACUAAGUUGACCACAGACAGUGGCUCCCAAACUCUGCAGUACAUCAGAGUCACUGGGAAGCUUUAAAAAAUCCUGCUCCCUAGCUGGGUGCAGUGGUUUAUGCCUGUAGCCCCAGCUACUUGAGAGGCUGAGGUGGGAGGAUUGCUCAAGCCCAGGAGUUUGAGGCUGCAGUGAGCCAUGAAUGUACCACUACACUCCAGCCUGGGCAACAGAGCAAGACCCCAACUCUAAAAAAAAAUCCUGCUCCCCAGGUGACAGUAUCUGGGGGAAGGAGUAAGGCAUCUUAUUUUCAAAAGAUCAUAAGAAAAGAGGCUCAUUGCUGAGGCUCACUCCGGAGCCCACUUGGAUUCUUCACAAGAAAGUUUCCCUCUUCCAGAAUUUUAUAAUUGAGGGAACCGACUAGGGAAAGAUUAAUUUGCCCAAGGUCAAACAACUAGUAAAAGAAGUAAGGAUUCCAACCCAGAUCUUUUGACUCUAUUAUCCUUACAUAUAGUUUUAUAGUGAUUUAAAUUGAUACAAGGAUAGGUUUAAAUACAAGUAGAAUGCAGGUUCAUAUAAAACUGAUUUUAUCCUCAUGUUAGAAAACAUAUACACUGUAACAGAGGGAUGACCAUCAAGUGACCAAGAUAUUUUAGUCAAAAGAUGAAUUUUUCUGCAAUUGGAGAAUGCCAAAAAUAUUCAAAGAAAAUAUAAGUCUUGUAGGCAGUCUUCUAUCAAAACCCACUGAACCGCUGGGCACGGUGGCUCAUGCCUGUAAUUCCAGCACUUUGGGAGGCCAAGGCUGGUGGAUCACCUGAGGUCAGGAGUUUGAGACCAGCCUGGCCGACAUGGUCUCUACUAAAAAUACAAAAAAUUAGCUGGGCCUGGUGGCGGCACCUGUAAUCCCAGCUACUGAGGAGGCUGAGGCAGGAGAAUUGUUUGAACCUUGGAGGUAGAGGCUGCAGUGAGCUGAGAUAGCACCACUGCACUCCAGCCUGGGUAACAAGAGUGAAACUCCAUUCAAAAACAAAAAACAAACAAAAAAAAAACAAUGCACCAAAUACUAAGUUAUUAACUAGGAUACUGAUUAUUAAGCAUGUAAAACAUUUUAUGGAACUCAGAGUUUGAUGUAAAUUGCUAUAUUUUAUAAUUCAAACAAACCUUGUUUCAUGUCAUUAUAUUAGAGUAGCAUUAUGAGACAGGAUAUAGUGUAAGCUAUAUCCCCAAUAUAAUUGCAACUGUAUAUUUUAAAGCAUGGGGAAAAUAUGAAAAGAAUUAUGCUCAAAUGUGGGUAGGAUUAUAACUGAUUUGUUUUCUUCAUUUUCAGAUUUUUCUAUAAUGACUAUACAUUAUUUUUAUAGUCAAAAAUAGAAGUAUUUUAAAUGUUUCUAGGUAGAAUAGCAAAUUAGCUGAAAUAGUAUCUCCAACGUUAUUAUCAAGACUAGACUCCUUGGGUAAAUUGGUCAGAACAGUGUUGUUCUCAUUUUACACCUCUCCAAGAUUAACUAUGUUUUAGAUUUGUGUGUGUGUUUGGUUAAAGAGCCAGGAUGAAGAUCCAGAGUUCUUAAACCUGUAUACCACCAUACUACAUUGUCAUUUUAAAGAAAUGUCUAGUAGACUCGGUGGCAUAAACAUGGGCCAUUUACAAACUAGAUGUCUAAUAUCAGAUACCUCAAAUUUGACAGUAGACUUUUUUUCAAAGCUAAAGUGGUCUUAUGUUGACUAUUUUGUUUCUUACUUGAUACUUGUUUACUUUUUAAUUUUUGGCAAGUAAUGUUUCAAGUUAAAGUUUUAGCUAUAUAUAGCAGGCAGUAUUUCAAGUAAAUGAGUUACAUCAGUAAACACCUCUGUAUUACUAAACUGAGAAUCAGAAAAUGUAAUCUCUUUGGCAGGAUUCGUAUGUUUGUAUCACGUCUUUAUCCUCAGGCAACUUUUAUCUUGGAAUACUGAACCAGCAGUCAGAAUAUGAGGGACAUUAGACUGUGUUAUAGUUACUGUUCUGUCCUUAAGUCACUUGCCUUCUCUAAGUGUCAGUUGCCUCAUCUGAAAAUGGAGUUAGCAGACCCCAGCCUAUCCUGAGUUUGAGGGCUAAAGGGAAUUAUUCUUGAAAAUGUCUAUACAUGAUAAAUGUCACAAAUAUAACUUAGCAUUUUUUUUUUGAGACAGAGUUUCGCUCUUGUGGCCCAGGUCGGGGUGCAAUGUCGUGAUCUCAGCUCACUGCAACCUCUGCCUCCCGGGUUCAAGCGAUUCUCCUGCCUCAGCCUCCUGAGUAGCUGGGAUUACAGGCAUGCACCACCACACCUGGCUAAUUUUGUAUUUUUUAAUAGAGACGGGGUUUCACCAUGUUGGUCAGGUUGGUCUCGAACUCCUACCCUCCGGUGAUCCACCCGCCUUGGCCUCCCAAAGUGCUGGGAUUACAGGCAUGAGCCACCGCACCUAGCCAAUUCUACUUCUAUUACAUUUUCAGCAUAUAUCACUUCAUUGCUCCUCCAUAUUAUUUUUCACUGGUCUUCUUACAUCUUGUGUGCCCAUAUUUAAGUAGUUUUCUUUCCAGGUAAAAAAUACAUGUGUGCCUAAAAGAUUUUAAAGUCAACUUUUCAUAAACCAUACCUAAAUUAUCAAAGUUAUUAGAAUUAUUAGAAAGUAUUAGCUAAUUCUUUUAUAAAAUGUAGACUUUAUUAUUUUAGAAAUAUUGAUUCCUCUCUAUUCAGCUAUCUUAAAGAGGGUAUAUUUUAAUCAUCGCAAUAUAUUACCUUCAUAGUAUUUUUUACUUUUGCAAAGUAUAUUUUGUCAUGUUAUUUCAUUUAGGAAUGCACUAAAUCUACAUAUCUACAUAUGAUUAUACAAGGAAACAUCUUUGUCUCAAAAAUGGGUUCUAUUACAUUUUUUAAUUUCCAGGGGUCAUGAUAUAUAAAAAGACCUGAUUUAUCUUAAAAAUACAUACUUUUAUUCUUACCUACCAUACAUCUUUUUUUGUGAUAAUCAGAAGGCUUAAUUUACUAUAAAAUAGGAAAACAACAGCUAUGUUAGAUUAUAUAGUUAAUUUAGGGAUUAAAUGAGUUAAGGUCUACAAGCCCCUGGCACAUGGCAGACAAUCAAUAAUUGAUCAUUUCCUUUGCAUCUAUAAAUUUGUUCAUUCACUUCUCAUGUGGUUCUACCUUAGACAACGAUUUUUGUUUACAGAGACAAAUAGAAGUAUCUAAUCCUAAAUAACCCAAUCAAUUGGUAAAGGCUACACUACAAAGCUGGCAUGACUUCACCAAAUGCUAGAGAAACAGUGUUAAGAGUGACAACACUAAAAGUCUUACACUCUGAUGAUGCUAGUUGCCGCCGAAUUGCUUCCCCUACCAGUUCCUUAAGUUUCUUCUUAUGAUCCCGGCUGGUUUUCUUAUAGAAAUAAAGAUCUUUUUCCAACUGCUGGAUUUUAUCUUCAUAUGUUUUGAAAGUUUCCAUAAUGCCUUCUCCAUCUUGUUCUAUACAACAAAAAUUUGCAUUUAAAAUCAGUUUUAAAUAAAUGAUGCAAAAUUAUGUUUUUGUUUGUUUCUUUGUCUUUUUGAAACGGAGUCUUGCACUGUCGCCCAGGCUAGAGUGCAGUGGCGUGAUAUGCUCGGCUCACUGUAAGCUCCGCCACCCAGGUUCACACCAUUCUCCUGCCUCCGCCUCCCAAGUAGCUGGGACUACAGGUGCCCAGCACCACGCCCGGCUAAUUUUUUUGUAUUUUUAGUAGAGACGAGGUUUCAUCAUGUUAGCCAGGAUGGUCUCGAUCUCCUGACCUCGUGAACUGCC
rnacentral:lncRNA from 1 species